GAUGAACGCUGCCAGAAUGCUUAACACAUGCAAGUCAACUUGAAUUUGGGUUUUUACCUUAGGUUUGGGUGGCGGACGGGUGAGUAACGCGUAAAGAACUUGCCUCACAGCUAGGGACAACAUUUGGAAACGAAUGCUAAUACCUAAUAUUAUGAUAAUAGGGCAUCCUAUAAUUAUGAAAGCUAUAAGCGCUGUGAGAGAGCUUUGCGUCCCAUUAGCUAGUUGGAGAGGUAACGGCUCACCAAGGCGAUGAUGGGUAGCCGGCCUGAGAGGGUGAUCGGCCACAAGGGGACUGAGACACGGCCCUUACUCCUACGGGAGGCAGCAGUGGGGAAUAUUGGACAAUGGACCAAGAGUCUGAUCCAGCAAUUCUGUGUGCACGAUGAAGUUUUUCGGAAUGUAAAGUGCUUUCAGUUGGGAAGAAAGAAAUGACGGUACCAACAGAAGAAGUGACGGCUAAAUACGUG
rnacentral:rRNA from 1 species